GAUGAAGAACGUAGCGAAAUGCGAUAAGUAAUGUGAAUUGCAGAAUUCAGUGAAUCAUCGAAUCUUUGAACGCACAUUGCGCCCCUUGGUAUUCCGAGGGGCAUGCCUGUUCGAGCGUCAUUAUAACCCCUCAAGCUCAGCUUGGUGUUGGGGCCUGCUGCACUGGCAGCCCUUAAAAUCAGUGGCGGCGCCAUCUGGCUCUAAGCGUAGUAAUUCUUCUCGCUAUGGAGUCCUGGUGGAUGCUUGCCAUCAACCCCCAAUUUUUCUAUGGUUGACCUCGGAUCAGGUAGGGAUACCCGCUGAACUUAAGCAUAUCAUAAGCGGAGGA
rnacentral:misc_RNA from 1 species